UUAGUAGUGUUUCGAGUGUAAAGCGGCUUUAGAGUUAUAUUUUACAAAUCCUGACGGUUUCAUAGUCAACCAUUCUUUUGUGCAGUACUUGUUAUCGUGGUCACCGAAAUAGUGGAUUAUUUUAGUUUCCUUAUAACAUGUGUCGGUAUCUACUUGUUUGACGGUCUGAGGAAUUCGCAAACCGAAAAUAUCUGUUGCAUGCGUCAAGCCUUGCGUGGCGUAUACAGCAAAGUAGCACGGGCCACCCUAAACAGCUUAUUCGUUAUC